AAUUAAUGCAAUGGAAAAUAGAUUCAUCAUUCAUCAUGACCAAUAAACAUCCUUGUUUUUGGAACUUAUUAAACCAAAGAGAAAAUCAUAACUAGGAGACUCAUAGUUCUCGAGUUCCAUAAGAAAAAAUCAUGACCAAUAAACAUCCUUGUUUUUGGAACUUAUUAAACCAAAGAGAAAAUCAUAACUAGGAGACUCAUAGUUCUCGAGUUCCAUAAGAAAAACAGAAGAAAAAAAACAACUGAAUGUCAACCCUAACCCGUAGUGUUACAGAAUCAGAGUAGCGCAUUGCUAAGCAAUUAAACAAGAACUAAAUAAAUAGAUAGGGAGAAGAAAAUCUCCAUUGCCACCUCCUAACGAUCACAGCAGCUAAGACUCCUCGUCCUGAGUAUUUGUACCCCCAAUGAGUACAGAUACCAUCAACAUAUAACAAACAAAGGGUCAGAAAACACAACAUAUUAACAUUUGGAAUUACAUUGGUUAUAACAAUAAAAUAAUUACGUCAUCAUUGUUCGUCAUUCUUCAUUGCAUUCAC
rnacentral:lncRNA from 1 species